AAAGGAUGUCGGAUUUGCU
rnacentral:piRNA from 1 species